rnacentral:rRNA from 1 species
UACGGAGGGGACUAGCGUUGUUCGGAAUUACUGGGCGUAAAGCGCACGUAGGCGGAUCAGCAAGUUAGGGGUGAAAUCCCACGGCUCAACCGUGGAACUGCCCUUAAAACUGUUGGUCUUGAGUUCGAGAGAGGUGAGUGGAAUUCCGAGUGUAGAGGUGAAAUUCGUAGAUAUUCGGAGGAACACCAGUGGCGAAGGCGGCUCACUGGCUCGAUACUGACGCUGAGGUGCGAAAGCGUGGGGAGCAAACAGG